UUGCUCACUCCAGCAGCACAUAUACUAAAAUUGGAACAAUACAGAGAAUAUUAGCAUGGCCCCUGUGCAAGGAUGACAUACAAAUUUGUGAAGCGUUCCAUAUAUUU